rnacentral:lncRNA from 1 species
UGAUCGAUCCUAUCAUUGAAGACCUCGAUGACUAAGAGGUAGGGGCUGACCUACAAGACCCCCGAAGGCCGAACUUUGCUUUUCAGUGAGUCAACACCCUUGAAGAUCUUAGUUGUAUGAGAAGUGAGGAGAAACCUAAAAAUACCUCCGGAGGACUAACCUACAGGACCCUUGACUUACAAUAUGACAGCCUUUGAUCGAUCAGUCAAUUGAAGAUCCUACGACAGCC